rnacentral:rRNA from 1 species
AUAGAAUGCUAGUCGAGUGGCUCAGCCAAUACGAGCCACGGCAUACAGCUCAGUAACACGUGGCUAAUCUGCCCUUAGGACGAGAACAACCCCGGGAAACUGGGGCUAACUCUCGAUAGGCGAAGAACUCUGGAAUGAGUCUUCACCUAAAUAGUUCAGCGUUACGCUCGUUGAACCGCCUAAGGAUGAGGCCGCGACCGAUCAGGUUGUUGGUGAGGUAAUGGCUCACCAAGCCUUUUACCGGUGCGGGCCGUGAGAGCGGGAGCCCGGAGAUGGGCACUGAGACAAGGGCCCAGGCCCUACGGGGCGCAGCAGUCGCGAAAACUUUGCAAUACACGAAAGUGUGACAGGGCUAUCCCGAGUGCCAUCCGCUGAGGAAGGCUUUUACCCAGUCUAGAAAGCUGGGGGAAUAAGGAGAGGGCAAGUCUGGUGUCAGCCGCCGCGGUAAUACCAGCUCUCCGAGUGGUGUGGAUGUUUAUUGGGCCUAAAGCAUCCGUAGCUGGCUAGGUUAGUCCCCUGUUAAAUCCACCGAAUUAAUCGUUGGAUUGCGGGGGAUACUGCUUGGCUAGGGGACGAGAGAGGCAGACGGUAUUUUCGGGGUAGGGGUGAAAUCCUAUAAUCCCGGGAAGACCACCAGUGGCGAAGGCUGUCUGCUAGAACGCGCCCGACGGUGAGGGAUGAAAGCUGGGGGAGCGAACCGGAUUAGAUACCCGGGUAGUCCCAGCUGUAAACGAUGCAGGCUAGGUGUUUGGACGGCCACGUGCCGUUCUAGUGCCGCGGGGAAGCUGUUAAGCCUGCCGCCUGGGGAGUACGAUCGCAA